rnacentral:rRNA from 1 species
GACGAACGCUGGCGGCGUGCUUAACACAUGCAAGUCGAACGGAAAGGCCCUGCUUUUGUGGGGUGCUCGAGUGGCGAACGGGUGUGUAACACGUGAGUAACCUGCCCUUGACUUUGGGAUAACUUCAGGAAACUGGGGCUAAUACCGGAUAGGUGCUCCUGCUGCAUGGUGGGGGUUGGAAAGUUUCGGCGGUUGGGGAUGGACUCGCGGCUUAUGAGCUUGUUGGGGGGGUAGUGGCUUACCAAGGCUUUGACGGGUAGCCGGCCUGAGAGGGUGAACGGGCACAUUGGGACUGAGAUACGGACCAGACGCCUACGGGAGGCAGCAGGGGGGAAUAUUGCACAAUGAGCGGAAGCCUGAUGCAGCAACGCCGCGUGCGGGAUGACGGCCUUCGGGUUGUAAACCGCUUUCGCCUGUGACGAAGCGUGAGUGACGGUAAUGGGUAAAGAAGCACCGGCUAACUACGUG